rnacentral:rRNA from 1 species
UACGUAGGGUGCGAGCGUUGUCCGGAAUUACUGGGCGUAAAGGGCUCGUAGGCGGUUUGUCGCGUCGGGAGUGAAAACACGGGGCUUAACCCCGUGCCUGCUUCCGAUACGGGCAGACUAGAGGUAUGCAGGGGAGAACGGAAUUCCUGGUGUAGCGGUGAAAUGCGCAGAUAUCAGGAGGAACACCGGUGGCGAAGGCGGUUCUCUGGGAAUAUCCUGACGCUGAGGAGCGAAAGUGUGGGGAGCGAACAGG